UACGUAGGGUGCGAGCGUUGUCCGGAAUUAUUGGGCGUAAAGAGCUUGUAGGCGGUUUGUCGCGUCUGCUGUGAAAAUCCGGGGCUCAACCCCGGACUUGCAGUGGGUACGGGCAGACUAGAGUGUGGUAGGGGAGACUGGAAUUCCUGGUGUAGCGGUGGAAUGCGCAGAUAUCAGGAGGAACACCGAUGGCGAAGGCAGGUCGCUGGGCCACUACUGACGCUGAGAAGCGAAAGCAUGGGGAGCGAACAGG
rnacentral:rRNA from 1 species